AGACAAACAGCUUUAGCUGCCCUUACAGAUACCCAUAGCCCUAUAGCAUUGGACAAAGUACAGUUCAACAAGAGAAAAACAAUUCAAAUUCAGUGUUUAGUACAGCAGUGCCUGGAUGAAGGGGUGAGUGGAGGAUGUAAUGACAGUACUAAAUCAGGACAAACUGUACUGACCACCUACAGCAAGGAAUAUUUUCUUGUAUUAUAAAUGUCCAUGGUUGCAAAGUAAAUAAAAAAGUAACCUAAAAGUAAAUGUACUCUUGAGGUAACCACAAUAUGCUUUCCAAACUGACAUCUAACAUUAAGCCUCCUCAGUAAAGGAUUGUUUUUAAUUCAACUCAUGCCUUAGGAGUGUCUGCAUUUUAUCUCACGUUGACCACCUACAUGGGAUUUUUUCCAUGCUAGGUAUUAAAGCUGUCCAAAUAGUCAAUGGGGUGACAUAGAUACUUCAACCUGAGCAUGUUCUACGUGGAGGAGAUAAAACUCCUUUGGGAAGGACUAUUCUUCCCCAUGGAUAGAAAAUAACCUGGCUGAUUAGCUUGCCUAUAAGAAGAAGCCUAGGAGGUAGGUGGCUGGAUCUGUCUGAGCUGUACACUACAGGCCCUACACUUUUCAGGAGAGGAUGCAGCUGUGCAUUUAUUUAUUCUUUCAGUGUUGGUGGGAUCUUGGAUCCUUACAGUCUUUCAGCAGGUUUACUGAACACAGAUGAGUUAAAUGGGGGGGGGGGGGGGGGAGGAGGGAGAGAGUAGGAGGAGGUUGCAGUUUCUUCUGGUAUUGGACCAAAGUAAAUCUGCUAUAUCUUCUUUCCACAGCAAAGAACUUGGAGCUAGGCUGAUGCACUUGCAUGGGAGAUGAGAGGCACAGCCGUUUCCCCCUGUGGCGCGCUUGCCCUGACCUGCUUCCAGGGCAGCCAGACAUAACACAGAAAACACGUGACCUCAUCCGCCGUCAAAACAAACCAUUAAAAGCAGAAGCUUAAGACUGAUUUAGGACCCUCUGGUCUUCAAAUGGUGUCUGACUUUUUUUGAUCUGCUAACUGAUCACAGGUGGAUGAAAGGGGAUCUCUGAGACAAUUAACUGUGAAUUCAACUGGUUCACUGUUACAAAGGGGGGCAGCUAGAGUUUCUCCAGCAUUAAAAAAGCAGCAUUUGAUGAUUGCAUAGCAAAGGCAUGAAUGAAAAGCAGAGGAUGAAAACACGCUCCACUUAAUAUCCAUGCUAAAAAUUCUGCCCUAAGUGUCACUUCCUCUCAGUUAUAUUCUUGGUUCUACCCUCAGUAAUGUUUCUUAUCAACAGCAUCAAAUAUUCUGUGACAAACACAGGCACAGCUAAAAAAUAACCAAUAAAAGCACAGUAAAUAUAAAAAACUUAGUGAUG
rnacentral:lncRNA from 1 species